rnacentral:rRNA from 1 species
AGUGAACGCUGGCGGUAGGCCUAACACAUGCAAGUCGAACGGCAGCACAGUAAGAGCUUGCUCUUACGGGUGGCGAGUGGCGGACGGGUGAGGACUACAUCGGAAUCUACUUUUUCGUGGGGGAUAACGUAGGGAAACUUACGCUAAUACCGCAUACGACCUACGGGUGAAAGCAGGGGAUCUUCGGACCUUGCGCGAUUGAAUGAGCCGAUGUCGGAUUAGCUAGUUGGCGGGGUAAAGGCCCACCAAGGCGACGAUCCGUAGCUGGUCUGAGAGGAUGAUCAGCCACACUGGAACUGAGACACGGUCCAGACUCCUACGGGAGGCAGCGGUGGGGAAUAUUGGACAAUGGGCGCAAGCCUGAUCCAGCCAUACCGCGUGGGUGAAGAAGGCCUUCGGGUUGUAAAGCCCUUUUGUUGGGAAAGAAAAGCAGCAGGUUAAUACCCCGCUGUUCUGACGGUACCCAAAGAAUAAGCACCGGCUAACUUCGUG